CUGCCUCAAAUUAUCUCCUAAAACUUUUACUGUUAUAUUUACCUCUGGGAUAUGAAUGGCCUAUAUAUCACAUAUAAAGAGACAUUUGCAGAACACACAGACCAAAUAUACACAUAUAUAAGCAUGACUUCCAUACAGAUCCACACUGUCUGCAUCUACUGCUUGGGUUUACAAAGGCUCCAUAGCCCCAGACAGAUUGCAAUCUGAUCUCAAAUAAGCACUGCUGUGAAUCCAUUCAUAGUCAAGCCAAACAGCCACCAGCAACACAACAAGUCCACUGAAUCCAAACCUUCACGAGUUACAGCGCGAAAUCCACCAAAACAUCUGUGUGGCACUGGAAGGUAAUGGAAAGACGUUUGGGGAGCGACCCAAACCGCAGAAGGAAGUUGCAUGUCGAUGUUCUCCCAUACGUGAAAACGCAGGAGCGUUUGCCAGGUGUCAGCACCAAUCGACGUGACCGCCGGCCGUGGAGCGUGGCUUGCCGGCUUUCACAUGAUCAGCCACGCCCUUGAACCCGCCGCGUGAAAGUGAUUCGACACACAAGCAGCUCUGACACUUUUGGUGCUCUGACCACCAGGAAAAAGAUGGUGCACGAUGCUGCUACUGAUGGAAGCCAUAAAACUUGUUUACUGGAGGGCUUUGGUCUACACUGCAGUGGAGGACUUCUCCUCCUUGAUGUCCAGCUGAAAGGUCAGGAUCAGAGAGAGAUGAAGGCACCGUUUAAUCAGCGCCUCACCGCUGGAGUGCUGACUUUUGACCUCUGACCUCAACCACAUGACCCCGCCCUCCAGCAGUUCCACCGCUCACAGCCGAUUCAAAGGCCUGCUGGUUGGCCGUCGGGGGGGCAUGGUGAAGACCUGAGGGGUCAACAGGAACAGCGGGACCCAUCAGAGGCGUGACGGCUCCCUGCCGGGCUGAGCUCGUCCCCUCAGGUGCAUCACAGACAGCCCUGCACCCACAUCAGCAUCUGUACAUGAUGCUUCUACACACAGUGAAUCCUAUGCUGUGCUCAUAUCACAGGUUACAUGCAGAUAUUGAAUCACUGACCGUAUCUAAUUUCUUUGGAUGAUUGGAUUGAUACACAUUUUAGGAUGUGGAGAGCAACAGAAGAUAUGUGUGUCUGUAUUGAGGCAUCUCUGCAAAUAACAGUUGUUAAACUUGCCUUUCUUGCUUUGCUGUGUCUCAUUUUUGUUAAUGCCAACAUUGGAAAGUUAAGCUGUAUUGAUUAACCUGCGACCAUGGCAACAAUGACAAAUUCUCAUUGAGUUGUAUAAUGGGAUAAAUGAUUUUGGACACUGGAAGUAAAAGUCCCAUUCAUUGUUUCCAAUGACAAAUUUACAUGACUGAUAGUUGGAGCAUUGCUACGGCUUGGAUUGGCAUAAAACUCUCUGGAUUAAAUAAUCAGUCAAAAAGAUGAA